rnacentral:lncRNA from 1 species
AUGUGAGAGGUUGUACACCAUUCGAUACAUCAAAUUAUAUACCCCUAGCAAAACUCAUGAAUUAUAUGCUAAUUUCUUUUAUUUAUAGAUGGUACAGAAGUUGUCAACUAGUGUGUCAACCUUAGAGGAAAAAAUGAAGGUGCUUAAGGAGAUUGAUUCAGAGUACAACAUUGAUAUGUUAAUUAGAAUGAUAUUGUGAUUCAACUUCAUUGUGAGGGAGUCUCUUCAUUUAAAUAGAUGCCAUCCAACCAAUUACAAGGCUGAAAAUCGGGCAUUAUUUGUAGUAUCAAUACAUGUUCCGAAGCAAUUAAAACCUACCAAAACUACAGCUAAUUUACAAUAUUUUUCCCAAGUAAUAUUGCAAAUCAGUUACCUAAAUAGGCUCGUACAAUUGACAUGAUAUACAAAUUGGAUAGCUUGCUUCAGUCCUUCCAGUGGUAUGGAUAUUAUUUUGACAACAUUUGUGUUUGCUGGACAACCUAAUACAAAUUUGGAAUGAUCAACGUACUCUGAAACAAAUAAUUCGACAUGGCUGAUAGUGCUUAUUAGGUCAAUUCAGUUUUCGAAAGCACAAGUGUAGAAUAUGAUUAGGUGCCACAAAAUUCAACAUUGUAAACAUUUAUUGAUGGCUUGGUUAUGCUAUUUUAGGUAAAUGUAGAAUCAGGUACAGAAAAUCAGCGAAAGCCAUCAGCAAUAUCCAUAUCAGGAGUCUCUAGUCAAGAAGAAAACAAGCUAACGCAGCCAGAAGAUAUAGAAGCGGUUGAAAUUGGGCCUCUUUAUUUAUUUAUUUUUUUUUUUGUGAGGCCCCUUGAAAUGUAAGACCCAAGGCAGUGGCCUAGUCUGCCUUGGGACAGGGCCGACCUUGAACAAGAAAUAGAAACAAUAAAUAUAAAUAGUAAUGCGACUUGAUACUCCUAAUACGAAUAAACACAAGGGUAAUUUACAUUAUAGGGGAAAAAAAUAAGGGGUGUACUAAAAUAUUUAUUAUUGUUAAAUAUUGCAAACUUCAAAUAUAAAUUUGACGUUUAGGUAAAAAUAAGGUUAAAUUACACGUCUUUAUCAAAGUACCUUGUCAAAAUCACACAUGCAAGUUUCCAUGCAUACAACUCGUCCGUGAUUUUUGUGGCGUUGCCUAUAUUCAACAUGGGAUAAGAGGAACAAACUGUACAUUUUCAAGUUCCGAGUAUUGCCCGAGUGUAGUAGACAUCGCUCACCCAAGAAAGCUCUUGUCGGG